AGGGUUUAUCAGCUUUUUAGCUAAGGUCAAGUGUAGUAUCUGCUCUUAUCAGUCUAAUAUCUGAUGUGUCCUCUGUUUAAAAUGGACUUUCAGAAUGGGAGGUGAAAUAGGACCUUGCUCUGUCUACUCAUGAACAGACGUUAUACUGUACCACCUGCAGGAAUGAUACACACACA
rnacentral:snRNA from 1 species